CUGAAAGAUCGGCUAUGAAAAGUCAACUGACAUUUACUCCUGAGGUGCUGACCUGUUGCACCCUCAACAACAACUGCUGCCGUGCUGCUGCUCCAGUUUCAACUGUUCUGCCUGUGGCUACGGAACAAUGGAGAGCCGACACGGCAGCAACACUUCCAUCAGACCAGACCGGUGUCCGGCUACUGGGGUGGAAGGAAAAUAAAAAGUUAGCAAGCGUGGAUUCCCCAGUAGCUUGUCAGUAGAUGCCUUUCGGGGAGGAAGACAUGAUGGAUUAAGGGGAGAACAGGAUCAAGAUGGAGAUAUGUCAAUAAUGCUGCAUUGAAUUUCUCUGAGAGGAAAACUAAAAGAGGAAGAAAGAAGAGAGACACCACAGGAGAAUGUGUACUCUGAUGUCAGGUGUUCAGACUGGGAAUGAACUUCGUUUAUGUGCAGAGGAACUUAGCAUCAUUAUUCUAAAAUGUAACAUUAAUAAUACUUACAUUUGUAAGUCAGUGCCACUUCUACACAGAGAAUUUGAAAAUAUGAGAAUAUCACACAUUUAAU